AAGUCGUAACAAGGUUUCCGUAGGUGAACCUGCGGAAGGAUCAUUAGUAAGUUGUGUUGUGCUUUGGCACUUCCUUCUUGUGAACUGGAGGUUCCGGCCUCGUAUUUUUUUAUUCAUGUUGUUUUUUAUUUUUUUUCUUGUAAAAAUAAGACAACUUUCAGCAAUGGAUCUCUUGGCUCUU
rnacentral:misc_RNA from 1 species